AAGCUUCAACAAUCGUUUACACAAACAUUCAUUGCAAAUGUUGAUUGUAUUGAACUGAUAAAGUACAUGUACACACACAUUUAUUAUAAACAUACACAAAUACAUGUGUGCGUAUGCGCACGUGUAUGUAUUGAUAGUUUUGUGGAGUUUAAAAUAGAAGUGUAUGAUAGAGAAGGGAGAGGGAGAGAGAGAGAAAGUGAGAGGAGAUGGAAGAGAGAAGGUUUGUGGAAAGGGAGAGUGAGAAAGACAGUGGGUAAAGGAGAGAAAGAAAAAUAGUGAGGGAAGGAGGAAGACAAAGUGAGGGAGGAAGAAGAGAUAGUGAACGAAAGAGCUGGGAGAGUAAAAGAGAAGUAGGGAGGAAGGAAGAGAGAUAGUAAGACAGAAAGAGAAAAAGAUUGUGAGGGAGGGAGAAAAGAUAACGUUCAUGUGCUGUGGUGACGUCACACCCUCCAGCAGCAGCAGCAGCAGUGGCUACAAGCGCUCAACUUAAAAUUGUACAAAAUCAUCAUUACAUACAUAUAUAGAAAAUAAUUUUUACACACACAUACAUGCAUAGAAAAUGUAGUUUUAUUACUUUUACACACUUUCACUUUAAUAAUUCCCUUGUUUCAUGCUCAAAUAACUGCCACCAUAACUGUUCUUUCUCAUCACCAGUAACAACAGCAACACACGCGCGCAUAUUUAUAAACGAAACAAAACAAGUCGAAAGCCAAAAAUACAAAGAAAACUAUCACACACACACACAUAUAUAUAUAUAUAUAUAUAUACAUGUGUGCACACACACACAUGAGACUUAAAGGAAAAUCAAUAAAUGAAAAGAAAAAAAUAUAAAGACCACUCGAUCUUUCUCCUACUCGUUUACUCCUGUUUUUCUUAUUUUAUUACUGUCUCUUUCUUUUAUUAAUUCUGUCAUCUAACUCAGCCUAGAUCCUUUUCUGCCUGUUUAAAGAGUAAUUCCAUUCUGGUUGGUACCCCCCGAAAAACGUUUAUAUUUCAGCCUUCCAGCGACAACACCACUUCCAAGAUUAAAACAGGGCUCUUCUAAAAUAAAUAAAUAAUGACCCUUACACAUCAGCUACUGCUACCGCUGUCAUUGGAUCUCUAAGCAUUAUGAUAUUUUAUAUGCGUUCUGAUGGUUACACAUAUAUAUAAUUGGCACAGGGCCUCCGAGAUAAGUAGGAAAGCGGAAUGAAGGUAUACUCAAACCAAAGAUCUGGCCCUAAUGCUCUCAUAUAUAUAUAUAUAUAUACAUAAACGAUCUUAGUUCAAAUCCCGUUGGGGGUCAACUUUGUUUCAUCUUUUUCGGUGUAUAAUAAAACUAUAAUCUUGGUGUCCUGGACAAUGGAUGGGCUCUGAUGGAACUAAGAACGUCGAACUGGUUGCUUUGUGGUAUUUGCUUUGGCGCUUUGCGUUCUGUGUUCGAAUUCUGUCGUGGCUAACUUAGGUAGUGUACUUAAUCCGUCACCCUGUCUUAAAUAAUCAACUCUGUUGCGAGCAUUAGGGUCAGGUCUUUAGUUUGAGUAUACCUUUAUUCCGUCGUCCAACUAAUUAAUCAAGGAGGCCCUGUGCCAAUUAUAUAUAUAAAUGUAACUUUUGAGUAGAUAUUUUGGAAAAACACAAUGCACUACAACAUCCCUUCUUACUCUCUCCAUCACAAAUUUCGGGUUAUUCUAAAUAAGCGUAAGGAGCACUUAAUACGUCUCAAAGUUUUUUGGUGCUGCUUUUUCAUUGUUUCAAUUUGAAAUCUUAAAAAAGGACAACAACAAAAACCCUGUGUGUUUUGUAUUUUUAAAAAUAUCGCAAACAAUAACGUGUCUGCAGGGUAAUUUGCAGUUGUCAUUCAUAUUUGAAGCUAAGAGGGGUUCCUUCUUCCGUUUCCCGAGUUUCAUUCAAAAAGUUGCUUAAAAUUUUGCUAUUCCUUUAUAUAUAUACACAUAUAUCAUCACAAUAAUAUAUAUAUAUAUUCCUCUUGCCAUUCUAUUCCUUUUAACCGAGAGUCCGCCGUCAUCGUAUCCUCGUCCCACAAAACUGAUUAAGCUUGACUGAUCAAAUUGGCUCCUUGUCGAAGAAAGGGAAUCGUUUUCUUCUACCACUCAACAUUCUCAACACACUAACAAACAUCUCUACCCCAUCCAACCACCACAAUUAGUGUCAGCUCUUUCCAACCCCAGCUCUCAACUAUGAUCCUACUAAAGGUCUUGACUCUUUACUUUAAGAUGUCCCCUUCUCUCCAUACAUUUUAUAUUGAGUGGGAUCCACUAUGGAGUAGAAUAAACUGCAGCGUAUUUACAAGUCUUUCCUGUUUUUUCUUUGUGCGUGCCUUGCUUUUUGUUUGUCCUUAUGAUCGACACAAUCAUAUCGAAAGCGUGAAAUAAGUUACAUGGGCAGUUUAAAAUGUGUUUGUGUAUGUUUAAGUAUAUAUGUACGCGUGCGUAGUUUUAUCCAGAUUAAAAUUAUUGUCUACACACACACAACUACCAGUGCCAGCUUUAUGUCUUUUAACUAUAUUACCUCUGUGAUAUAUAAAUAAAUAUUUAGAUAGAUAGACACACACUACAUCCGUUAUUUAUCUGUUGUGGCAGCAUGUAGUGGGUUCUCUCUCUCUAUCAUACAUACACACACUCUCUGUAUCUCCCUACACUCUCUCUUUCACUUUUAGUACCGUCACCACCACCACAACUAUCAUCGUCACUAAGCAGCAGGAGAACCGGCUUCGCCACCACCACCAUCACUACCAUCAUCAUCACAAUAAUAAUACAGGCUUUAUUGACCAUUAUUUCUCCUUUUUCUUCUCGCUCUUUCAGCCGUUUAUCUCCGACAUAUUUAUUCGUACUUUAGCUUUAGUAGCUCGUGUAAGUUUUUCUGCAGCGCUAACCAACUCUGAGUGGUUUUCUUGUCCUACCAGAGGGGACGCCCAAGGUAAGUCCCAGAAAAAUUCGAACAAACUUUCGCUACCAAAACCAAUCAAACAAAAACAAAACAUUUCUUUGGAAGGACUUUACGUACAAUAUGACAUUUUUCUCUCCCUCUCUCGUUCUUUCUUCCUUCCGUCCUUGUAGUUAAAUUCGUUUUAAUUGACAGAUAUUGCUGGUUGUGUAUUAUAUAUAUAUACAUUUAUUUUCCUGUUCAUCAACCCCAGGCAUUAUCAGUCAAUUCGCUUUUAAACCGGAUCGUCAAGGACACAAUUCUACUUUGUUAUUUAUUCAUCUUCUCCAACUUCAUUUUGACUUUUCUUCUCAACGUACGAAGGUAAAGAAACAAUAAAACAAAUAUAACAGAAUACAGUAAAUAACAAAAAUAAAUAGCGACAUAUAUCUAAAACUAUUCUAGAAGUAUUCUUCAUUAGCUAUCAUUAAACUUAGUAACUUAAUUCAUCUAAAAUACUUCAAAUAUAAACAGAUGUAUAUCAUUUUAUGUGGCAUUCAUUAUUGACUGUUUUCCAUCUUAGAUAUACAAUUGUCCCUUAGGGAUCACAUCCUUUCAUUUGUAUUAUUAUUGUUUAUGAUAUAACCCUUAUCCAAAAAUUUGCUGUAGCACUCAACUUUGGUUUGUUUCGAAUCUAGAAACUUCAAGUAAAGGACGAAAGAAAUUUAUAAAAUAAAUAAGGAUGACGAGAGAAGCAAUGCAAUAAAGGUUGUUGUUGUUGUUGAUCUUUGGUUAAUUUAAUUUUCUGAUUUGCUCACGAGUUGUGAUUUCUCGAUUAUAAAAGGUGUUGUGUGAGAAGGAAAUAUUGAUCUGUUGGGUGUGGAUGUCGAGUGAGAGAUAAACGAAUUUAAUCUAAGAAACAAAACAUCACAACCACACACAGUAUUGGCUCCUCUUGUUGUCAACUUCAGGCAGAGAAGUAAGUUUUCUUUUUGGCUUUUUCACUUUAUAUUGAAGUUUCUUCCUCUCUCUCUCUCUUCGUAUAUGUGUAUAAAUAAAUAUAUAUUUGAUAAACUUAUUUUACUAAUAAAUAUCAAGCUGAGGAAAUGUUUUGGGUUUCCUCUUGUGUUCUUUGAACUUUCUAUCUUUAACAUUCCUUAGUUUCAUGUUGAGACAACUGUUUAUCUUUUGUCCAUCGUUUGUGAGCUUUCCUCUCUUACAUUUCGAGGAGGAUGUUUCAAUUCCCCGUUUUUGUUUAUACUCAUAAAAGCUUGAGCGUGUAUAUACUCAUACACACACAUAUAUAUAUACACAUAUACACAACCAUGCUCUCGUCUUUCUCUUGUUGACACCUGUCUCACAACACAACAGACACACGUGGAACAUAAACAGUUACUACUACUACCAGAUGCUUUUUAAAGUUAUCGAGUCCCCACCAGGUAAUUUAUAUAAUUUACUUCAUAUCUGAAACCUUUAUCCCUAACAAAAGCCAUAAUACAAGGGCCUUCAAAUAACUCUGUCAUUUGAAUUAUUAAAACAGGAAUGAGCCUCCAAUUAUUGCUUUGUGUUCGUUCGUACAUGUGCGUCGCUUUGCCUGGGAUUUUUUCGGAAUCAACUGAUGAGAAAUUCUCUUAAACCAGCCGUUUAUUCGUUGUAAUUGGUAAUUAAAUUAAUUUGGGGCUAUUUUGGUAUUCUUACUUAUGUGAAAUAAUAUUUAAACACUUCUAACUUGGAAGCGAGUUGCUUUUAUUGUUCAUUCACUUAGUCAUCUGUAAUCCAUUAGCAGUUUUUAAUAUACCUGACUGAUAUUUCCUCGCUUCUUUGCCUCCUAGCACUGCACUGAAAUUUGAUAGGAUUUUUUUGUACUUCUACAAAUGAAAAGCCAAAAAUUCAUUUAUUCAAGUUAGAUUGGUCAGUUUGUUCGGUAAAUAAUCACUGGUUUGGUCAAGGAAAUACACUCAGUUUGUAAACAUCCUCUUUGGGAAUAUCUUGUUAAAUGGUUAUUUAGAAAGUUGUGUUUUUCACCAGGAAAUAAAAUCAAAUAAUAGAAUAAAAAAUAUGACAUGUAUAAAAUAAAAUGUCCUUCACCUUGUUAUCAGAAUAAAAAGAAAAAAUGCUAUAAAAUAGCUCUUGUGUUUAAUUAUUAUCAUGUGUGGGUGCGUUAGGAAUGAAUGGAUGGAUAAGCUUUCUGUCAAAUUAGAAAUUAUCUGAAAAACCAGUAUUACCAUUAGAAUAUUUCUGUGAGUGGUGGCUUAAAGCUAUUUUCAGUUGGUAUUGUGCUUUCUUCCUUUAUUUAUCCUUCUUUCUAUUUCUAUAUCUCUCUUCCCUUUUCAUAUUCAAAACACAUUUUCAAUUAGACUGUAAUUAAUUCUGUCCAUAGUUGCUUCUGAUACAAGCACCACAAUCAAAUGGAGAUGUUUGCUAUUUUUUUUUUUUUUUUUUUGGUUUUUUCCUUUUUCCAUUUCGUUGGAGUAAAAAAAAAAAAAAUUAUUUAAAAGCCGAGUAAAAUUAGACAGAGGAGAGAGAGUAAGUGAGAAGGAAAAAUAAAUGAGAAAGAGGGAGUAAAUUUGAUAUCUUUAACUGUCAGAACAAAUGUAGUAGAACCUUCCAUUUUGGCGCUGUCAACUCCCCAGCACACUUUCAAUAACAAGCAUCUUUUUGUAAGCUGACUGGUAUGAAACAAUUUAUUUUUUUCUCUCAUUUCUAUAAUUUUCUUCCUUUCCAAAUGUCUUUGUGUACGUGUGUAUGUAUAUGAAUGAAUGUAUGUGUGUGUGUGUGUGUUGUAUGUUCGAACAGUUGGCUAGCAUCUUCAUUCUUUCUUCCUCCAGCAACUGUCAAUUUUCCUCGCAUUCAAUCCAUCUAUUCCAAAGAGUAUAAUCAAUGUUCUCGGCCCUUCUACUGUUUUCCAUAUCUAGGUUAACAGAUAUCGGAGUCAUAUCUAAGAUAAUGUCUGCCGCAUUUUUGUGAACAGGGAGUUAGUUGGCAGCGAUGAUGAUGAGAGUGUGCCAGUGUUUCCAAUAUGAAGAAGAUAGACGGGUCGUAAUCAUGACUUCCUCGAUUACCUCCCCCUUCCUACUCUGUCACCAACUUGAACAGCUUCUCUUUCACUCUCAACCACUCCUCUCUCUCUCUCUCUUUUCUCACUCUCUCUCUCUCUUAGUUCCUUUCCUUAUCUCUUUCUUUCAAGAAGUUACUAUUCUUUAUUUCCUUUCAUGUAUUUUUCCUUUUUGUAGGGGUUCAAUUAUAACCCCUAGAUUAUUUAAAAUUAUGAAUAAUAACACAGCAGAUGUUAAUAAUAGAAUCAAGCGUUAACAAAAUUCUCUUUUGUUACAAAAAAAUCUGGUUUUUACCUAGCUGAUUAAAAAAUUUUUCCAUUUUUUUCUUUGACUAACGAAAAUAAUAAUAUUUCUUUAUGGUAUAAAAUAUCUUGUGACUCCUUAAUAUCUUGCACAAUAUAUUCAUUAUACUUUUAUCUAUGAGAGCAUUGUUCUUUUCUCAUCCGUUUCUUCAUACAUUGUAUAAGAAACUUGCUUAACUACACUUAAAAGCAUAAUUAGAAUGGUAUGAAGUUUGUGUGUCUACGUUUUCAUAAAUUAGGUUUGUUCUUAGUUAUUACUUUCCCCUCUUCUAACCCAAUAUAAUUGUAACCUAAUGCCUUAAAUCUGGGAUGUGAACUGAAUGUGAAUAAGUAAGGAGUCACUUUACAAGUUUUCUGUAUAUGAAAAUUACAAAAAUAAUAUUAGUAGAUAAAAUAGAAUUAAAAAAAGACAAAAGAAAAUCUUCAUUAGGAAAAAGAAAGUGAUUGACUAUUUAUGAAACCUUUAGAAGAAAUACUUGAAGAAUUAUUUCUUUUGCUAAGAUUGCUUCUCCACUUUUUCAAAAAAUUGUUAGCUUCUUUUAAUGCCAUCACACACAACAGACUAACUUUUUGCUAAGGUCUAAAGAAGCCUGAUCAUGUAUCUGAAAUUUUUCUCAACUUCUUGAAGUUGAUGACUAAGAGAGAAUUUCAUUAAAUCACCCUUUUAAUUUUUUUGUAAUUUUGUUUGUUGGUAUUUUCGCAACUAUUUAAAGUGGGUUAAAAAAGGAUUGUGUAUACAGUAUAAAUAUUUCACUAUACUUUGAUCCCCGCCCCCAGUUAGAAAACAUCAUUGUGUACAUUAUUUAAGAAAUCUAUCUAUAAAACCAAAUUCUCAGAAUUUAGCUCUUAUGUGCUUCCCUCAUUGAAUAAUAAUGUACCAUCACCUAUUUCUUAAUAAUCCAACUUUCAUUUUCCCAGAUUUUUAUUUAAUAUAUCUAUUUAUAUAUGUUCAAAAAGUUUGCAUGAGGAUGGUUUUGAAAACUUUUAAACUGCUCUCUCUUCUAAGUACCAUAACUUCUCCACUGUUGCCAUGGUUACCCAAAAUGGCUGCUAACAUGGUACCACCUAAACAGAUCUCUUCUCCUGAUUCUCUCAGUUUAUAUCUCUGCAACAUAUUUCUGAAGAGCACACGUCUCAAACUGGAUAAAAUAUUUAGCAAAGACAGUAAAAUAUCAGUUUGACCCACUGGAAGGCAAACAGUGUUAAUUAUUUGAGAAUAGAGUGUGAGAGAGAACUAGUCAUCACUGGUGCAUGUUAAGUCUUCUCUUAACAUUUCAUUUAACCCUAAGAUCCAGUAAUACAUACUAUCCAUCCCUUAAAAAACAACAGCCACAAAUCUUCACAUACACACACCCGACCCAUUUACUUGAGAAUUUCCUGUUUUAUUUUGCUGUAAUCGUUUAUAAUUUUUCUCUGUCUCUGUCUGUCGUCUCUCUCUCUCUCUCUCUCCCUAUCUAUCUCUUUUCCAAGCCAAGCUCUGUACAAGCUUGUUUAUCUUGCUAUGUACUUCACCUGUUUCUUCCAAAUGUAUUAAUGCUUCAUGGGAAUUACAUGUUAGGUCAGCCAUCCUGUCAAAUUAUCCAAAGUUGUGCAGCAGUCAGCUUAACUCCUGGCUUUUUAAGUUUACUGAUUUUUAAUAUACAGCAACUAGACUACACUGGAUGAAGGUAGUAGUAGGGUACAUACAUAUAUACAUAAUAUUGAAUUUUAUUAUAUUGUAGACUUUACUUGGUUUUGAUGGCUUAGCACCAAUCAGCAGGGUGGUAGGAUGAUUAUUGAAAUGUUUCCCAUUAUUGUUAUUAUUAUUAUUAAACUUUGCUUUUCAUCCUUUUGGAGUCAAUAAAUUAAAUACCAGCAAAACACUGUGGUCAGUGUAAUCAAGUAGUUCCCUCCCCCAAAUUUCAGGCCUUGUGCCUAUAAUAGAAAGGAUUAUUGUUUAUUAUUAUUAUUAUUAUUAUUAUUAUUAUUAUUAUUCAAAUUCCACUGAGGUCAACUUUGCUUUUCAUCUUUUUGGGGUCGAUAAAAUAAGUACCGGUUUAACACUGAGCUGAAGUAAUUGACUCAAUCCUGCUCUGGAAAUUGCUGGCCUUGUGCCAAAUUACAAAAUCAUCAUUGUUAUUAUUGUUAUUAUUAUUAUUAUUCAAAUUCUACCAAGGUUUUCUUUGCCUUUCAUCCUUUUUGGGGUCAAAAUAUGUACCAGUUAAACAUUGGGUUGAAGUAAUCAACUAGCUCCCUUCCUCCCCAAAAUUUUUCAUGGCCUUGUGCCUAGAGUAGAAAAAAAUAAUAAUUAUUAUUAUUAUUUGCAGUUUAUCCCUUGUUAAAACUUAGUGUGCUUUUUGCAGCACUGUGAGUCAUAUUCUAUCUAUGAAACUAUAAAAAUACCUUUGUGGGUUUUCUGUGAUCAACUUCCUAAACUCGUUCUCCAAACUGUCUGUCUGUUCUCUAUUUCGGCUGAUCUCCUUGAGUGAGAGGGUUGAACACCAUCACAAUAUUUCAUUUCUGCUUUCUAAUAAUCCUGAAGCAAAAUGUUAUAGUUUACCAUUUUGUUUAGUUAUGCAAAAUGAAAAAGAAAGAAACAAAAGGUUGAAUUAUUGCAGUACAAUUCAUUUAGGUUUUUUUUCUUCUUUUUUUUUUUUAAAUGAUUAUUCUCUCAAUAUUAGUUUCUACUAAUUAUAUUCUGGUCUUAAUUAGUUAAUCCUGUAUUUUUUUUAAUAACAAACUAUUUUGUCUAAACACAAAACAUUCUCUCACUUUAUAAACAGAUCAUUUGAAUAAUAAAAUACACUGCAAACCUCCAAUACACUUGUUCAAAUAUGAUCGGAGAAGCAUAUAAUAUUAAUUAAUGCUUCAUGUUUCAUGAAAAUGGACAGUUUUGUGAAAAUCAGGUGAUACUGCAUUUCUGAUGCCUCUAUAUAAUAAUAAUUAUUUCACAUGAAAAAAUUAACUGUAAUAAUAAUAACAAUAAUAAUGAUAAUAAUAAUUUGAAGAUAUUCAAAUUCAAAGUAUCGAACAUCUUUUUCUGUUUUUAUAUUUUACAGGCAUUUAGUUAAUUAUAUUAUUGUAAAAGCAAAAUAUCUGAAUUUAUGAUUUAGAAAACAAUAACGACAUUGACUUAUUUUAUUUGUUUUAUUUAUUAUAUUAGUUUUGAGAAACUGCCAAAUCUCAAACUGAAUGAUUUUCUUCAUAUCCUCUCCAUUUGUGAAGAAGUAUUAAAAUAAAAAUCAAUAUUUAUUUAUUAUUAUUACCAUUUGUAAGUGCUUGAUUGUCUGUAUCAAACUUAAUGGAUAUUAGCAUACACAGACACACACACACAUAUAUACUCAAGCACACACACACACACAAAUUUACUGAUAAGUAAUGUUUCACUCAUUGAGACUGAAUGAAUUGUAGUAAUAAUGUUUAUCUAUAUUGUAUUAAAUUAAAAUUUGUUCCGGAAAAUUCUUCUCAUCAGUCUAUUUUUCUGUCAUCCAUCUAGUGUAAUAAAUAAUAUGUUUAAAAAUACAGCAAUGCAGUGAUGAUAUUUUGGUUUUCUUCAGAUGACUAAUGACCUUCAAACAAAUGCUUGAUGAGCUUCUAUGAUUUCUAACAUCAGCUUGACCUUAAUAAGUCAUAUUGCUGAAAAAGCUGGUUAUGGUUUUUUUUUUUUUUUAAUUUUUAUAUUUUAUCACUUUCUCACUCCACAGGUUCUGUCAUUACUAUUGAAUAACCAAUUUUCAGUCAGAUAAACACAGUCUAAACCAGUGUUUAGCUCAACGUUUCCCAAACAUUUUUACUCUUGAAGAAUCCUUGGAAUACAUUCCAUGUCUCAGGAUCAUCUUCAUCAUCAUCAUCAUCAUUUGCUGUCCACUUGGCAUGGAUUGGACACUUUGACAAGAACUGACAAGCCAAAAAACUGCACCAGGCUCUAAUAUCUGCUUUUUGGCAUGGUUUCUACAAGUGGGUUUCCUUCCUAACGCCACCAACUUUAUAGACUCUACCAGAUGCUUUUUACUUGGCACCAGAAGCGCAGUAAAAUGGGUGGAGAUUGGAUUUCCUCAUUGAAAGCUUAUAAAGAAUGAUAUUCUUCACCAAUUACAAUAUAAAAUGAAAUUUUUAACGUUCUCUUCUCCAUGCUUGCAUGGGUCAGAUGGAAUUCCUUGAGUUAGAUUUUCUACAGCCAGGUGCCCUUCCUGUCAUCAACCCUCACCCAUUUCCAAAAAGGUAACAUUUCCCCAUGACUGGAUUCAUUUUUACCUUGCACUGGAAAUGAAGGAUAUUGCUUGUUUACAAUAAUUGUGUAAUGUCAGGAUAAAAAGACUCAAACACACACAUGCACAUGUGUGUUUGUGUAUUUAUCAUCAUCAUCAUUAUUGUUUUAAUGACCACUCUCUCAUCCAUGCAUGGAUCAGACAGAAUUUGUUGUGGUGGAUUUUCUACAGCUGGAUGCUCUUCCUGUCAGCAACCCUCACCUGUUUCCAAGUAAGAUAAUAUUUCCCUAUGAUGAUGUGUUUCCGUUGAAGAUUGGAAAUGAACGAUACUCAUGCAAUAUCAAAAAUGGUAACACACAUAUACACAUAGAUAUGAGCUUCUUUCAGUUUCCAUCUACCAAAUCCACUCUCGGGGCUUUGGUUAGCCCACAGUUAUUAGAAGACACCUGGCGAGCAGUGAGACUGCUCUUGAAACCAUGUGGCUGGGAAACAAACUUCUUAAUUACAUAACAAUGGCACUGACAACCAUUUACAACUGACAUAAGAUGCCAUUUAAGACAAAGACACACAAACAAAUGCAUACACAUGACAGGCUUCUUUCAGUUUCUGUCUACCAAAUCCGUUCACGAGGCUUUGGCCAGCUUGGAGCUUUAAUAGAAGACACUUGCCCAAGGUACAGUGGGAUUCAACUCAAAACAGUGUAGUUGGGAAACAAACAGUUUGAAGCUACAACAAAAAAAAAAAUUUUUUUUAAGUGCAUGAUUAUGGUUGCUACUCCUCUCAAGAAAGUGAUAAAGUUUUGCUAAAAUUUGAAGAAAUUAUUGUUACUAUCAUUAUUAGUGCAUCAAACUGUUUUUGUGUUAUUUCACCUGAUUCUUUAUAUUCUGGGUUCACAUCCCAUCAAAGUCAGCUUUGCCUCUUUCAUACUUUCAAGGCCUGUAAAAUACGUAUCAGUUAAAUACUGGGGUCAAUGAUAUCAACUAACAUCUCUUCCUGGCUUUGUCCACCAAUAUCAUCUUUGUCUUUCAUACUUCUGGGCUUGAUGUAAUUGACUCACCCCCUCCGCUCAAAAUUUCUGGCUUUGAGUUCUUAUCAAGGCAGUGGACUGGCACAGUCAUUAUGCUUGUAGUAUUUUUUCUGACUUCUAAUGUUCUGAAAUCAAAUCCCAUUGAUGUUAACUUAACUUUACAUUCCUUUUGGUUGAUAGAACCAGUUGCGUACAGGGGGUCAGUGUAAUCAACUAACCGCAAACCCCAAAAUUUCAAACCUUGUGCCUGAGUUAGAAAUAAUAUUAUUAAAAGCACCAUCCGAAUGUGGCCGAUGGUAGCACCGUCUUGACUGGCUCCUAUGCCAGUGGCACGUAAAAAGCACCAUCCGAUCAUGGUUGAUGCCAGCUUCCUCUGGCCCCUGUGACAGUGGCACAUAAAAAAAGCACCCACCACACUCUCGGAGUGGUUGGCAUUAGGAGGGGCAUCCAGCUGUAGAAACCCUGCCAGAUCAAACUGGAGACUGGUGCAGCCUCCUAGCUUCCUAGACCUCAGUCGAACUGUCCAACCCAUGCCAGCAUGGAAAAUGGAUGUUAAACGAUGAUGAUGAUAUGUCGGUGAGCUUGCAGAAUGCUUAGUGUCGUUUCAUCUAUCUUUGCGUUCUCAGUUUGAAUUCUGCUCAGGUCAAUGUUGCCUUUCAUCUUUUUGGGGUCAAUGUAAUCAACUUCCCCACUCCUCAAAAUCUGCUGGCCCUGGUGCUAAAAUUUGAAUCCUUUAUGAAAGUGGUGGGUUAGCAGAAUUAGCAUUGCAUUUUGAAAUCAAAUCACGCUGGUCAUCUUUGCCUUUCAUCCUUUCAGGUUCAAUAAAAUAAGUACCAGUUGUGCACUGGGGGAAAUAUAAUUGACUUACCCACCUCCCUAAAAUUGCUGGCCUUGUGUUGAAAUUUGAAAUCAUUAUUUCUUUAUUGCCCACAAGGGGCUAAACAUAGAGGGGACAAACAAGGACAGACAAAGGGAUUAAUUCGAUUACAUCGACCCCAGUACGUAACUGGUACUUAAUUUAUCGACCCUGAAAGGACGAUAGGCAAAGUCGACCUUGGCGGAACUUGAACUCAGAAUGUAAUGGCAGACAAAAUACCGCUAAGCACUUCGCCUGGCAUGCUAACAUUUCUGCUAGCUCGCCAUCUUUGAAAUCAUUAUUAUUCACUGUUCCCUUUGUCCAGAUUUGUUGCUUUUGCUUAUGUUGGAAACGACUAUUGGCCAACACAGACAUUGCUGUAUGGUUUUGACUUUUUGCUUUCCAAUUACGAGGUUUCAGGUUCAAUCCUACUGUAUUUGAAGAAACUGAAAGAAGCCCAUCAUAUUUUUGUGUAGCUUCUGUGCCAGUGGCAUGUAAAAAGCACCCGCUACACUCUCGGAGUGGUUGGCGUUAAGAAGGGCAUCCAGCUAUAGAAACUCUGCUUGACCAAAUUGGAGCCUGGUGCAGCCGCUGGCUCUCCAGAUCUCAGUCAAACUGUCCAACCCAUGCCAGCAUGGAAAACGGAUGUUAAUUGAUGAUGAUGAUGAUGAUAUAUACAUGUGUGUGCGUGUGAUUGCAUCACUGUCAUACAAGCAGUGUUCUGUGUUUCCAAUUUUGCAUGGUAACAGGGCCAACCAUAAGGAAAUAUUAACUUGCUUGGAAACAGGUGAGGGUUGGUGACAGGAAGGGCAUCUGGCUGCAGAAAAUCCACUUCUACAGAUUCUGUUUGACCCAUGCGAGCAUGGAAAAUUGGAUGUUACAAUGAUGAUGAUAGAAACGAUGAUUAGCAUCGUUACAUCACUAUUGAUUAAAUCCUUUGAUUCUCUUGUGUUCUUACACCUGAUCGUGACAUCUUUUAAUCACUGAGGAAAGCUUGACCAAUGAGAAAUAGCAGCAAAAUCUUCCUGAGAUUAAUUCCUAUCAUUUUGGUUGGUCAUAUUUGAUAAAGUAGUCCUAGAUUUUUAUCAUACAAAGGGGAUGAAAUGGUCAGCACUGUGAUGAAGAAAGAUGUGAACUGUCUUCGCAUUCUAGUUUUCCAUUCCUCUCCUUUUCAAUCUAUAUAAAUAUAGUGUUUUUUUUUUCUGUUUUAUCUUAUUUUAUUUUUAUUAUUUUCUCCCCUCCUUCUCUCCUCUCUUCCUUCUGCCCUCUCUUUCUUUCUGUCUUUCUCUUCCAAGAACAAAACUUCCUUUAAGGCAUGUAUUAACAGUUUUCCUUUUCUUCGGCUCAAAAAUUAACAUUUAAUUGCAUUCUUCUCUCAUCCAUCCAUCCAUACACACAUCUCUCCACUCCCCACUCCUCCUUAGAAGAAAAAAAGAAAACCAACUACAAAAAAUGAAAUUCUCAUGAGACUCUGAAUGAAGUUGAACCGUGUAUGGAAUAUGAUAUUAGAACUUUUUUAACUCAUCUGUAGCUGACAUUUACUCUUGUUUCUCUUGUGUGUGUGUGAGAGCAAGAGAAAGGGAGAUAUAUAUGAGUGUGUGUGUUUACCAUUUUCGUUUUGUUACUAACUUGGUUGUUCUGUAACAUUUGCUUUUUCUUUAUUUUUUUAAUUCAUAUUUGUGAGGUUGUUUUUUGUUUUUUUUCCUCCUGUAUUUUUAAAUGUGUAAAAAAACAUACACACACACACACACACACUUUACAUACACACCACUCUUUUCAUCCGUUUUCCUUCUUACUGGCACCAUUCAUAUACAAGAAGAGUCUGCUCUUAUCUACGUGUAUUCAGGAAUAUUGUCUUGUUUGUUUGUUUGUUUCUUCAUUGUUAAUCCCACUAUUCUUGCUUGUUCAUUCUCUUUCCAAACGUUCUAGACCCUUGUGGCUAAUGGAUAUCAUCAUCAUCAUAAUCAUCAUCAUUGGAUUGACAGAAGCGAGUAGCAUACAAUAAUUACAGCAUCUCUUUUAGUUCUUAAUGUCCUGUGUUCAAAUUCCACUGAGGUCAGCUUCACCUUUCUUCCUUCCAAGAUGGAUAAAAUUAAGGUACCUGCCAAAUACUGGAGGUCGCCAUAAUCAACUUGACCCUUUCUUUCAAAAUCACUGGUCUUGUUUCAAGCAUACUGGAUUUUGAAUCCAAAGGCCCAUAAGUUCAAAUCUCACUAAGGAUUCAAAUUCUUUUAUAGCAGUGAACUGGCAGAAUUGUUAGCACACCAGGCAAAAUGCUUAACGGCAUUUCAUCUGUCUUUUUGUUUUGAGUUCAAAUUCCACCAAGGUUGACUUUGCCUUUCAUACUUUCAGGUUUGAUAAAAUAAGUACCAGUUGAACACUGGGGAUCGAUUGUAAUCAAGUCAUUCCUUCCCACAUAAUUUUUACCCUUGUGGCAAAAUUUGAAGCUAUAAUUAUUAUUAUUCCAAGCCCUCAUCAACUUUUUCAAAUUUCACUUGAAAAAGAAGUUGAGGGUACAGAGGAAAGUGUUGCCUUGUAGCAAGUUUGUUGAAAGGUGAGUGAAUGUUGGAAGAAUGGCCAGUGUGAAAGGACCAAUUCUGAGUGUGCACUUUUAAAAAGGGAAAGGAGAAGUGCUCUUUCCCUGUUGUUCAGGCACCCAUGGCUUUUGUGGGUUUUUCCAUGAGGAUCUUAAAGCGCCUCUCCCAUUAGGAGUUUUAAUUUGUUCAAUUUUUACCAUUAUUAUUAUAUUGUGUACAUGCCAUUGUCUCGUCCUGUUUUUUGUCUUUUAAUGUCAUUUUAUGUGAUCCCCUGUAGCUAGUAAAAGAAUAAAUUAUUAUUAUAAUGAAAGGCGGUGAGCUGGCAGAAACGUUAGCACACUGGGCAAAAUGCUUAGCGGUAUUUCAUCUGUCUUUACAUUCUGAAUUAAAAUUCCCUGGAGGUCAGUUUUGCCUUUCAUCUUUUCAGGGUCGAUAAAUUAAGUACUAGUUGCAUACUGGGGUCGAUCUAAUCGACUGCACCCCCUCCCCAAAAAUUUUGAGCCUUGUGCCUAGAGUAGAAAAGAUUAUUAUUAUUAUUAUUGAGUGAGAGAGCAGUGCAUGCCAUCAAAGUGACACUAGGGUAAAAUAUACGAAGCCCAGUAUACCCAUCAUGACUACCCAUCUGAUAAGGGUACACCAGGCACAUGUAUCAUAACCAUAUGUGCAUGACAUGGUGAUCUCAUAUCAAGAUAAACAGUGCAUGACCUUGCAGGUGAGACCCAGUUAGAAUUUUCUUCUGAUCAAGUAGCCCACCCCACUCAAAAGUUCCUUGAAUAAGGAUUGUUUAAGGAUGUUGAACGAACCACCCAGGUUUCCAAAGGUGAAUUAUCCAAACCUUCAAGAAUUCCUUUCAACACAUGGCUAUGAUGCUCCCCCACUACUUCUGCUCGUGGUCAGAGAUGCACAUAUCAUUGAUCUGGUACUGGAGAAGGAUUCUGGAUUAUUUUUCCAUUUUUUAAACUUAAUUUUUGAGAGCACAAUUCUCACAGCUAAGUGAGUUACUUAGCAUGACUGCAGGCAGACAAAUGUCUGGGACCCAGUGAGGAUUUCUUGUUUGCGAAAAGAAAAACAAUAUCAAAUAACAAAACCCUGCUAAAUCCCCACCCCCAACAGAUGCCUACCUUACAGUUGCACCUUCAACGUUCUUCACUUCUAGAGCACUGCGAAAGCAAUGUCUUGACAAUACCAGUGUAGCAGUAACUGACUAAUGCAUGUGCAGUAAACAAUAAACGACCAGUCCCUCUUGUUUUUGCUUUUUCUUUACCUUAAUGUACUAUUGUUAUAUCUAUUAUAUUUUAAUCUUUUACUUGUUUCAGUCAUUAGACUGUGGCCAUGCUGGGGUACCACCUUGGAAGAAUUUUAACCCUUUCGUUAGCAACCCAGCUGAAACUGGCUCUGGCUCUGAGUACAAAUGUCUUGUUUUCAUAAGUUUUGAAUUUUCCACCAAACCUUAGUCACAAUUUAUGUUCCUAACACUAACUUAAUGACAAGUUAUUUUACUAAAUUCUUCGUUAUAUUUAAAGUAAUUGAAAGAAACACAGAGCAUCCCAAAAUAAAUACUGUAACGAAAGGGUUAAAGCAGAUGAAUCAAUCCCAGUACUUUGUUUUACCAAACCACUAAGUUAUGGGGAUGUAAACAAACACACACACACACACACAUAUGAUGGGCUUCUUUCAGUUUCUGUCUACCAAAUCCACUCACAGGGCUUUGGUCUACCCAGGGUUACAGUUGAAGAUACUUGCCUGAGGUACCACACACUGGGAUUGAACCUUGAACUAUAUGGUUGAGAAACAAACUUCUUACCACAUAGCCAUUGAAACUUUCAAGAGAAGUGAUUUUCCUUUGAUAUUUAUAAUGGAAUACUGAAAAGUUGGAUAAAAGAAAAUACGGGAAGAUCAGUUAAUUAUAAUUUUAUUCAACAUAUUAUCCUGUCAGAUUCACACAGUUAUUGCAGCGAUUCUUCAGUUAUUCGACGCCCUGUAGAAGAACUUGGAAGGUUGGGCCUCCAACCAGGCCUUUCGUGGUGCCUUUAAAACCAGGAACUAUUUAGCACCCCACUUGUGCAUACAGCUCUCCACAGGCACCACUAUAAGGGUUGCAGCAAGUUUCUUUUUCACCCCCACUCCCAUCUUCAUUGCCCCAUCUCCACCAUGAUAUUUUUCUUUUGAUAUAAACUAGAGAAAUCCUGUUAUAAUUUUGAAAUAUUAAAAAGUGAUUGUUUUUAUUAAAAUUUUGAAAAUUUUGUGCAUAUGCCUGUGUGUGUGUAUGGCUGUGUGGUAAGAAGUUUGCUUCCUAACCACAAGGUUCCAGGUUCAGUCCCACUGUGUGGCACCUUGAACAAGUGUCUUCCGGUGUAACCCUGAGCUAACCACAACCUUGUAAGUGAAGCUGGCCGAUGGAAACGGAAAGAGGCUCAUCACAUAUAAGUGUGUGUCUUUGUGUUUGUCUCCUACUACUGCCUGACGACCAGUGUAAGUUUGUUUGCAUCCCUGUGACUUUGUGGUUUGACAAAAGAGACCAAUAAAAUAAGUACCAGUCUUAAAAGAAACAAAUCCUGGGAUCAAUUUGUUUCACUAAAGCCUUCAAGGCACUGCUGCAGCAAGUAGAAGAUAAAAGACACAUUCACACACACACACAUAUAUACACAUAUACAUAUAUAUACACACAUAUACAUAUAUAUAUAUACACACAUAUACAUUUAUAUAUAUACACAUAUGCAUAUAUAUAUACAUAUAUAUAUAUAUGUGUGCGUGUGUAUAUAUACUGGGUCAUCCCAUUAAUAGUGCGUUUUUUUUCAAUCGCAAGAACUAAAAUUCGGAGGGGGAUGGAAUAAACUACCUGCAAUCAACUUGCUAUAAAAGCAGGUAGUAAUUUUACCUUGUAUUAUUCUCAGUGAAAGUUUUGAAGAGUGCAGUUCGAUUUUAGCAGUUUUCUUUUUCAAAGCUAUAAUGGAAGUGACACAGGAGCAUAUUCAGCAUAUUUUGUUUUAUGAGUUCAAUAAAGACAACAAUGCAACGGAAAGUGUGAGGAAUAUUAAUUCAGUAUAUGGGGAUUGGACAAUAAGCGUAAACCAGUUUCAGCGGUGGUUUCAGAAACUACAGCCUAGAAGAUGACCCUCAUCCUGGAAGAUCUGUAGAGGUUGACAAGGAUGUUUUGCAAAACCCUAGUGAAAUAAAAUCCCACCGUAACUUUGAGGAACCAGCAGGGUAACUUGGAUUUGGUCAUUCAACCAGUCAUUCAAGUCAGUGCUAGAUGAGAAACAACCAUCUUUGGUUCAGGAUAAUAUUUGGUCACAUACAGCAAGGAUGACACUCCAAAGGCUGGAGCAGUUUGAAUGGGAAACGAUGCCCCACUAACCAUAUUCAUUGGACAUUGUCCCAUCUGAUUAUCAUUUAUUCUGCAGUCUUCAAAACCAUUCGAUGGAAAAACUAUGAAUUCUGUAGAUGAGGUCAGAACAGUACUGAAGGAGUAUUUUUCAUCACAGAGAAGUGAAUAUUGGAAGAGGGUCCUUGCAAGUCUACCAGAUAGAUGGAAAAGCAUUGUAGAAAAUGAAGGAGAGUAUAUUUUAGAUUAAAAAAGAAUUUUGUUUAUCUUAAUUUUGAAAAAUAAAAGAAGUAUAAAAAAAACUGCAUUAUUUAUGGGAUGACCUAAUAUGUAUGUAUAUAUAUGUGUGACUGUAUGUGUUUAUAUAUAUAUAUAUAUAUAGACAGGCAUAGAUAGAUAGGCAGAUAGACAAAUGUUUUUGUGUAGUGAGGUGGAUAACAUUAUUAUCAUAACUUAAUGUGAAAUAUUUUGUGAAAAAAAAAAAAGGAAAAACUAUGUAUUUAAUUCCCCUGGAUAUUUUUGAACAUAAUCUUAGCUAAUUAGCUUCUGCAUUUUUGAUUGAAUUUUCUCACCCUUUCCCCCACUCCAUUACAUUUGGGCUUUUCACUCCUCCUCUCUCUAUUUGUCUUUUCCUUUCUUGUUUUAAAUUAUUACUACUUAUAAUUUGUGCAUUAGUCUUUUUUCAUUCGAAUGUAAGGUUGGUUAGUUGUUUUUUUUUUGUUUUUAAAUUUUUAUUUUUGCUUUUCUUUUAUAAGCAUAUGCAAAUCACAUUGCAGUUGUUGUUGUCUUUAUUUUUCCAACUCGGCUAUUUUACUACUCAAGAAAGAUGUUGCUUUUCCUUUCUCCCUCUUUUUUUGUUUUUUUGAUUCUUUUGCUAAACCGUGUUUUCAAAGUUUGUUCGUUUUUAUUUUUUUAAAGUUUUUUUUUGUUUCUAUUCAUUUUAGUUUUUUUUUUUCUUUGACUUAAUGAUAAUAAUUAGCUGUAGCAUAUUUCAAAUAUUGAACAUGUAGCACAGUGGGAGGUGAGUGGUAGAGUGUGAGGUGGCUGAGGAACCAAGGCAAAUUAAGCUAUUAAAACUAGUCCUGUUUCUGUUGUUACUAUUAUUAAUGUCAUUUCUAACAUUAUCAACUCUUCUUGCAGCAGUUGAUUCAUUUCCUAUAUUUAUUGAUUUGCAUUUAGUUUCUAUGGAAACCUUUUGUUGAAAUAGAAGCCGAAACACUUAUUGUUAAAAGUUGCUGUAGAAAAUGGUUCUGUUUUCAGCCAUUCUUCUACUGUUAGCUUCUGUCAUAACCACACUGGAUAAUUUUGAUAAAUAUGUGUGCUUUUGAACCACAUUUCAAUUGCACUCACACACUUGCACACAUAAACACAUGCACUCACACACUUAUUUACACACAUAUUGGCACUCACAUACACACACAAACAAACAAACAGUUGAGCUGUUUAUUUAUAGUUCUGUGAGAGCUUUCUUAAUUUUAAGAUAAUUCCUUGUUUUUCGAUUUUUCUCAUUAAUCCUGCUACGUCUUUCAUUACAUGCAUCAUUCUCUCCUAACAGUGGCAUAUAUUCUGUCAUUCUUGGCUAUACAGAGUCUGGAGAUUUUUAUCUCAAAAAAAAAAGGGCUACCUUUAUUUUUGUACUGAUAUAAUAUACUCUUUUACUUGUUUCAGUCAUUUGACUGCAGCCAUGCUGGAGCACCGCCUUUAGUCGAGUAAAUCGACCCCAGGACUUAUUCUUUGUAAGCCUAGUGCUUAUUCUAUCGGUCUCUUUUGCCGAACCGCUAAUUUACAGGAGCAUAAACACACCAGUAUCGGUUGUCAAGCGAUGUUGGGGGGACAAACACAGACAUACAAACAUAUACACACACAUACAUACAUAGUAUAUAUAUAUAUAUAUAUAUAUAUAUAUAUAUAUAUAUAUAUAUACGACGGGCUUCUUUCAGUUUUCAUUUACCAAAUCCACUCAUAAGGCUUUGGUCAGCCCAAGGUGCCAUGUAGUGGGACUGAAUCUGGAACCAUGUGGUUGGUAAGCAAGCUACUUACCACACAGCCACAACUUUCUGUCUUGUUUUUAAAAGUUCUAUACAUUAAGAGGUCAAUGUUAUUAUGUUUGAAAGGUGGUGAGCUGUCAGAAACAUUAGCAUGCCAGAUGAAAUGCUUAGCAGUAUUUCGUUUGUCUUUAUGUUCUGAGUUCAAAUUCCACCGAGGUUGACUUUGCCUUUCAUGCUUUUGCAGUUUAUAAAUUAAGUACCAGUUGCGUACUGGGGUUGAUCUGGCCGCAUCAUUAUCAUCAUUGUCGUCAUUUAACAUCCGCUUUCCAUGCUGGCAUGGGUUAGACGGUUUGACUGAGGGCUGGCAAGCCAGAAGGCUGCGCCAGACUCCAAUCCAAUCUAGCAAAGUUUCUACAGCUGGAUGCUCUUCCUAACGCCAAAAAUUUCAGGUCUUGUGCCUAGAGUAGCAAAGAAUAUUACUGUGUUUGAAGAAAGAUGGACAUACCCAUGUGUUGUUGUAGAUCUCCUCUACCCCCAUCUUAUAUGGUAUGGUCAGUGAAGGUCAUGCUUAUGGAAAUAGUGCAAGUCUAGCAUACAUUAACUAAGUGUGUAUGUGUGUGUGCAUCUGUCUGCUUGUAUAUGAGACCAAUGUGGGAAUGGUUAAGAGUCUGUAUGUUUAUGUGUGUGUGUGUGUGUGUAUGGGGGUUAGUAAUAGCAAGUAGGUUAUUAACAUACAAAAGAAAGAAUGGGUGAGGCAUGACUAUACCCCCAAGGUACACCGGAGUUGUUAGGACAUGCUUCCGAGAGGAAGUUCUCGUGUUAGAUCUGGCCAAGAUUUUCCUGUUGCUAAGCAUAAUGUUACUGUCACCAAAGUUCUCAACUAUGAGAGACCAACCAAUGGUAGGUGAUGCUUGGACAGACCACUAGUAACUCUGUGCCUUUGUAGAAAUCAUAGUGAUGGUUAUUGAGAGGGGAUAGAGUUAGAGAUGAUAAAGAAAGGGGUUGUUUACAACUGUUCUACCAUUCUCAAAGGUGAAGGAAGUUAAGGCAGUGAGACUUACAGGUGGAAGUUUUAGAGAUUUUUUUUUUUUUUCUGUUUGGAAUCUGAAGGAAUAGAAGACUUAAGAUUUUUGUUAGAAGAGAAAAGAUUGCAGAGGUAGUUGCAGAUGGGAGCUAGUGAAGGAUUUCAUUGUUUGAAGGUGAUGGGAAAAGUACACUACCUUGUUGGGUUGGAAUGAUCGAAGAAAGGGGCAUUAAUGUCGAAGCUGAUAAUGUUGAACAGGGAGUGUUUUAUCUGUUAGAACUGUGCAAUUGGAACGAAUACAUGCAGCAGAUGUGAUGCACAUCUGUUACCAGCAUAGGUUUAAUGAAACCCUAACCAAAUGAACUAAGUACUAGAAGGUUUGGGGUAUUGACAUGUUAGGGCGUUGCAUUCACAAUUGUAUGAUGAUGGUUUCAAUUCCCGGACUAGGCUGUGUGUUGUGUUCUUGAGCAAGACUUUGUUUCAUGUUGCUCUAGUUUACUCAGCUGUAAAUGAAUUCCAGCAAUUGGAAUUCUGUUCAGGGGUGAAUGUUACAAUCUCAGUCACUUUAUGUCUUGGAAAUGGGAUUAAGCUCCAGCCUCAUGAAUCCUAGGACUCAUAACUGACCUAAGGGGGCUAAGAGGGUUCAGGGUAUGGCUGAAAAAGUAUGGUGUAGGUUGCCUUUAUUAGGCAGUGAACAAGUGUCCAGAUUGGGACAAACUCUGUUAUGACACAGUAUAGAAAACUAGGUUUUUAAUUAAUUAAAUAUUUUGAAAUGUUUGCAAAGAGUCAUUUUAUGAGAACAUGUAGCUAUUUAACCCUAGAUAAUUCUAUCAAGCAUAAGACUUAUUUAUUCAAAUUGGUUUCAAUUAUUUAUGCAUUAUCUCAUGGUUUUGAGAUUUCGAUGAUAUUGUUUAUUCUUUGGAUGACAUUGUAAAGUAGAUGUGAGAGACUGAAUCUGGUCAUAAAACAUGCAAGAAUAUAUGGACCUCAUGUGGCUGGUUGAAAUACUAAAGGGUUAAACAUACAACAAUCUCACCAUUUUUUCUUUUCUUUCUUUUUAAUAGUGUCACUUUUAGAAAAAAAUUUUGUUUUGUCUUCGAUUCCGAUGGAUUCAGUAAAUUGGACAGUUAGCUGGCAGAAUCAUUAGCAUGCUGGGCAAAUGCUUAGCAGCAUUUCAUCUGUCUGUAUGUUCUGAGUUCAAAUUCUGCCAUGGUCAUCUUUACCUUUCAACCCUUCGGGGUCGAUAAAAUAAGUAUCAGUUGUAUACUGGGGUCAAUGUAAUCGACUUAGCUCCUCCCCUGAAGUUACUGGCCUUGUGCCAAAAUAUGAAACCAAUGUAUUCAGUAAAUUCUUUUAUUUUUAUCAAUUAGUCAAAAUGCUCUGUGGGGACUGGCACACCAAAGAAUAAACCCAAUGUUUCUUCUGUGUGUCAUAAAACGAGACUAAAAGAGGUUAAGGUAGGAUUUGCACUUGGACCUCAUAAAGCCCUCACCAGCAAUAGCUACCCAAAAAGACCCAUGGGUCGGAAGGUUGUUACCCGAGUAGUGCAAAAGUGCCAUCCACCAACAAAAUGGAGGAAGCAGUGACAUGCUCUUACAGCGCCUGCUUCCUUACUACUGCUGGUCAAGAUAAAGGGCAGAGCUGAGGAGGAGGAAUGUGUUAGGAAACUAGAGGUAUGACCUGAAUACUUGCAAGAGUGGAUUCUGCCUAAGGUACCUAAGGACCAGUGAACAGUGUUCAAUCCACAUGGUAGAGUAAGUCUAGCACUCAAGUAAGCCAUGGUGGAAUUUGAACUUAACCACUAGGCUACACAUCUUCACUAAAUGUGAAGUAAAACAGACAUCAUAAUUGUUGUUAAUGAGUAACUUUCAGCUGUUUUUCUCAAAUAGAUGUGAAGUACUUUGUAUCUCAAGAUAGAAGAGGCAGCAAGCUUGUACAAAUGUUUGCACGCCGGGCGAAAUGCUUAGCGGUAUUUUGUUUGCUGCUAUAUCCUGAAUUCAAAUUCCGCUGAGGUCGACUUUGCCUUUCAUCAUUUCGGGGUCGAUAAAUUAAGUACUAGUUACGCACUGGGGUCGAUAUAAUCGACUUAAUCCCUUCGUUUGUCCCCUCUGUAUGUAGCCCCUUGUAGGCAAUAAAGAAAUAAGAUAGAAGAGUUUGCUACUUCUGUCACCAACUGGAAUAUGAGGUGCAAUGAAACCCGAGUAUGAUAAUGCAGAAUUGUGACCUUUAGGGAGUAGUUAUGAGGACUUUCUUGAAGUAAAGGCAUGUGGCUUACUGGUUAGUGUAUUUAGCUCAUGAUUGUAAGCUCAGGAGUUCAAUUCCUGGCAGUGUGUUGUGUCCUUGAGCAAGAUACUUAAUUUCAUCUUGUUCCAGUUCACUCUGCUGACAAAAAUGUGUAGUUCCUGUGUAUUUCAAAGGGCCAGCCUUGUUACAUUCUGUAUCACUCUGAAUCUCCCUGAGAAACUACAUUAUGGGUACAUAUGUCUGUGGAGUCGAAACAAAAAACUUGACUCCAACUCCUCUACUAUUGGCACCUCCGACUCCUCUUUAUGUAAUUAAGUGAUUGUGGUCUAAAUAUCUCAUAAAUGCAUAGAGUAGACUUAUAUGUUAUAACUGGUUUAUAUUAAAGAAUAAAGAUAUUGUGAGUCGAGUCAGUGUAGUUUUACUGACUCCAGCUUCUGAAUUGUUUCCAACUCAGAGUCCAUGAUUCUGACUCUGACUUCAUGGCCCUGGUGCUCAACCAUUUGCACAUUAAUUUGUCAAGCAGGCUGUUCAAUUGAAUUUACUCAACCUGCAGUAUAGCAAGUGAAAUAAAUGUAUGUAUGUAUAUAUGUAUAUAAUAUAUGCGGCUAGCUGGCAGAAGCAUUGGCACACCGGGCGAAAUGCUUAGUGGUAUGUCAUCUGUCUUUAUGUUCUCAAUUCAAAUUCUGCCAGGGUCAAUAAAGUACCAGUUACGUACUGGGUCAAUCUAAUUGACUGACCCCUCCCCCAAAAUUUCGGGCCUUGAGCCUAGAGUAGAAAAUAAUAUAUACCUUUGAAACACUCCUUAUUUAAACCAGCCAUAUCCGACCCAAAUAUUUAUGUUUUAUGUUCAAACUGGCCUGAUCUAGCCUCUCAUACUUACCCUCCAAUGUCAUUCUAAAAUGAUGCAAUCAACAUCAUUGAAAUUUCGAGGUUAUGAUUAUAAUGCAUGAUUAAUUCAAAAUAAUGUGAAUAAAUAAGCAUUACGUUUGACAGAAUAUGUGAAUGCAAAGGGUUAAUCAGUGACAGAAUUAGAACUACACUAGAGAAAAAAAUCUAUAAUGUGGGAAGAAAUACUGAAAAGAAAGGACUAGUUUUAAUUCAAAGCUGGAACACCUCUUUUGAGUGGUGAUGAUGCUUAAAAAAAAACAAAAAAACUAUAAUUGUAAUACAAACUUUGUGGUUUUAUGUAGUUGCCAGUUAACUUUCAAGUUAAAAAUCAUAUGAAAAUUAAAAAAGAAACAAAACUCAUUUUGUAUCUGUGUGUCUGUCUAGCUAUCUGUAUGUGUGUGUGUGUUUGUAUGUAUGUAUAUAUAUUUAUUUACACACACACAAACCUUAUUUCAGCUUCUUUAUAGUAAAAGGGAAAAGCAUUUUUUCGUCACUAAUUUUGGUUCCAUUUCUUUAGAAAUUCAGAAAAAUUAUUGAGGUCAAAUGUUGUGAUUGGAUUAGCUGUCACUUAAGGGAGGAAUAAAAAAAAAAAAUCCCCAUUUGUCUCGUAUCUUAUUUAAAUUUUUUUAUUUUUAUUUUACACUCAAUAGAAUUUUUUGUUUUGCUUUUUACAGUUACAUUAUUUUUAAAAAAAAUUUUUUCUAUACCAUUUGGAGUUUUAAUAAAUCACAUAACUUAAACACCUUCUUGAACUUCCCUUUGAUAAAUGCAAUUUGAAUGUUUUUCUUUUUUUGUUUUUUUUUUUUUCUUGUAAAUAAUUAUCAAAAUCAAAAAUUCUAUGUAAAUGCUGUCUUUGUGAAUAACUAAAAUUAGUUGAUAGAAGAACAUUUACUACUUUGGAAGAGUGCGAUGAUGUUAAGAGAACUUAAUUUUAGAAUGAAAGAACAUUACUGUAGCAAAUUUGUCCAAAAUUUCUUCUCCUUAUACUUUUCUCACUUCUUCCUCUCGACUCCUCUCUCUCUUUUUUCUUUUGCUCUAUUUCUCUUUUUCAUCAUCUUUCUCUCUCCCUCCCCUCUCUCUCUUAAUAUAUAAAAAGAAUUUUAAGCGUAUAUACCUUUCUUUAAUUUGUCUAUUUCUUCUUCCUUUUUAUCUCUCUUUCUCUCAUAUAAUUUUGCAAAGUUUAUAAAAAAAAAAGAUUUUAAAAAAAUACUUUUAUCGAUUAAUAUCUUCAAUAAUAAUAAUAAAAAAUGUGCCUGCCGGAUUGGUUGUGUGGCUAAGAAGCUUGCUUUGCAACUGCAGGGUUCUAGGUUCAGUCCCACUGUUUGGCACCUUGGGCAAGUGUUUUCUACUAUAACCCUGGGCCAACCAAUGCCUUGUGAGUGAAUUUGGUAAAUCGAAACUGUAUGGAAGCCCAUUGUGUAUACAGGUGCACGUGUGUCUUUGUGUUCGUUUAUAUCCCUGUAACUUAACAGUUUGGUACAAGAGGCCAACAGAGUACAUCAUCAUCAUUCACAUUUGUCACUCAUUUUCCUUUCCGGCAUGAGGUGAACAGUUUGACCGGGGGUAGGGAGGGGCAGUUGCAUGGCGUCGACAAAAGCACUGAGGUCAAUUUCUUUGACUAAAAUCCUUCAAGGCAGGGACCCAGCAUGGCAACAGUCCAGUGACUAAAAUAAGUGAAGGAUAAAAGAUAAAGAUCAAAAUUUAAAAAAAAAAUUUUUUAUCAGAAUUAUGGUUUAUGAGAAAAGGGCCGAAUGGAGCUGUGAUGUUCAUACCUUUCCUAAGAACUGCAGCAGUAGAAUAUUAAGCACAACCAAAAGUUAAUAUCUGAUCCUGGAGUAAGGCAUUAAGCUGGGCAAAGCACUUAGAGGCAUUUCACCUGUCUUUACGUUCUGAGUUCAGAUUCUGCCAAGGUCAACUUUGCCUUUCAUCCUUUUGGGGUCAAUAAAAUAAGUACCAGGUUGAUGAAAGGUGGGUGAAUGGGAAGAGUGGCCAGUGUGAAAGGACCAGUUCUGAGUGUGCACCUGUAAAAAAAAGAAGGGCUCUUGCCCUGUUCAGGCACCCAUGGCUUUUGUGGGUUUUUCCAUGAGGACCUUAAAGUGCUUCCCCUAUCGAGAGUUUAAUUUGUUUAAUGUUUAACUGUUAUUUAUAUUGUGUACACGCGAAAACCCUUUGUAUUGUCCUGUUUUUGUAUGUGAGCCCUUAUGCCCAAUAAAAGAAUAAAUUAUUACUAUUAUUAUUAUUAUUUGGCAAAAUCAUCAAAGUAUUUAGAAAAAUGUCUUGCAAUAUUUAUUCUGGUUUUUUAUAUUCUGAGUUCAAAUUCUGUCACGGUUGGCUUGUCCUUUUAUCCCUUCCUGGUUGAUAAAUUAAGUACCAGUUGUGUAUUGAGGCCAAUGUAUUUGACUGUUGACUGUAAACAUCGCCUUUCUUACACAAGAAAUUUCCCAAAACUUUUUUGGCAACUUACAUUAUUAUUAUUAUUAUUAUUUAAGGUAGCCAGCUGGCAGAAUUGUUAACAGGUUGGGCAAAGUGCUACGAGGCAUUUUGUCUAUCCUUAUGUUCUGAAUUCAAAUUCUACUGAAGUCGACUUUGCUUUUCAUCCUUUUUGAGUUCGAUAAAAUAAAUACCAGUUAUGCACUGGGGUCGAUGUAAUUGACUUACCCACUUCCCUGAGAUUGCUGAUCUUGUGCCAAAACUUGAACCCACCAUCUGAUCCUAGAGUCAACAGACAUCUGAAAACCACUUAACUCUUUCGUUACUGUAUUUAUUUUGAAAUGCUCUGUAUUUCUUUCAAUUGUUUAAAAUAUAACAAAGAAUUCAGUAAUAUAACUUAGUUAUUAUUAAGCUAAGUUAGGAAUAUAAAUUGUGACUCAGGUUUGGUGGAAGAUUUUGAUUCAAAACUUAGGAAAACAAGACAUUUUGUACUCAGAGUCGGAGCCAGUUUCAGCCAGGUUGGUAACAAAAGGAUUAAUCACAGACAUGGAAUAGUUCACUUUAAAACAUUUCUUUGCUCCCAGACUUUCAUUCUAAUUUCAAGAUCUCAGACCAACUCUUGUCCUACUUUGCUCUCCUUCUCCACUCAAGAGAAAUUAAAAUUUUUACUUUUAUUUUUUUAACACUGAUUCGAUAUUGUUGUUAUUAACUAAACUUGAGACAACAUGCUUUUAAUAAAUUGUACAACUUAAUAGAUUGACACACAGGACAACUGUACACGCAUUCAUACAUACAUACUUUCAUACACACAUACACAUGUCCUCUUUGUCUGUCUGUCUGUCUCUUCUUUCUUUUUAUAAUCCUCAUCACCAAUAUCAUUGUGUCAUCUGAAGUCAACAAUAAUUUUAAAUUAUUGUUUUAACCAAUGCCUUAAAUGUUAGUUUCUGUUAUUAUUUUUAUUGGCCCUUGUGGCAAAUGAGAGUUUAUUAUUAUUAUUAUUCCCUCCCCCAAUCCCCUCUUCAAAAUUGUUAGCCAGCUGGUCUAAGUGGCAUGAUUGAUAAUUCUUUCUAUUGCCAGUUUUCUUUUUUUUCUUUUUCUUUUUUUCUUUUUUCUUUUCUUGUUAUAAAGAUAAAAAAAUAAAUGUAAGAUUGUUUUUAUUAUCAUUUUAAUGUCUUGAGAUUAUACGCUCAGUGAUUGGUUGAGAGCAUGGCUGACACCUUUCACUUGAAACAGUCUUCUUGACAUUCCAGCCUAAAAAAUAAAAUGAGAGAGACAGGGAGAACAGGAAAGACAAAGAGAGAGAGAGAGUAAAAAAUUAUUUUAGGUUAUUAUUUUAUUUUAACUUAAACAGGGGAGGAGGAGGUGACUGUGAGAAAGCAAUUCAAAUAUUUAUUUUUUUAUUACCCACAGGGGGCUAAACAUAGAGGGGACAAACAAGGACAGACAAAGGGUUUAAGUCGAUUACAUCGAGUCCAGUGUGUAACUGGUACUUAUUUAAUCGACCCCUCAAAAGGAUGAAAGGCAAAGUCGACCUCAGCAGAAUUUGAACUCAGAACAUAAUGGCAUUUCGCCUGGCGUGCCAAGGAUUCUGCCAGCUCACUGCCCUAAGCAAUUAAAACAUUACCAGGGAUAUGUCUUUCAGUGAAUCCAGAAAUCCAGUUUUUGUGAUGUUACAAUGUUCUUUGUUCUAGUCCUUUCUAUUAGGCACAAUGCCUGAAAUUUGAUUGGGGCAAAGAUGAUUGCAUUGACCCCAGCGCUUGACUAGUACUUAUUUCAUCGGCCCCGAAAGGAUGCCUUGACGGAAUUUGAACUCAGAACAUGAAGACGGAUGAAAUGAGGUGAAGCAUUUCACCCAGCAUGCUAAUGAUUCUGCCAGCUUGCCACUUUAAUAAUAAUAAUAAUAAUAAUAAUAAUAAUAAUUUCAAAUUUUGCAACAAGGGUUGUAAUUUGGGGUGAGGAGAUGAGUCAUUUACAUCAACCCCAGUGUUUCACUAGUACUUAAUUUACCGACCCCAAAAGGAUAAAAGGCAAUGUUGACCUCAGCGAAAUUUGGACUCAGACUGUAGUGAUGGUUAAAAUACUGCUAAACAUUUCAUCCAGCAUGCUAACGAUUCUGCCAGUUCAUCAUUUCUUUCUACUAUAGGCACAAAGCUUGAAAUUGGAAGGGUGGGGAACUGGUCCAUCACAGCAACCCUGGUGCUUAUUUCAUUGUCCGUAAACAGAUGAAAGGCAAAGUCAACUUUGGAAUGAUAAUAAUAAUGGUAAUCCUUUCUGUUAUAGGCACAAGGCCUGAAAUUUGGGGGAGGUGGAUAGUUGAUUAUGUUGACCCCAGUGUUUCACUGGUACUUAAUUUAUUGACCCCGAAAGGAUGAAAGGCAAUGUUGACCUCAGCAGAAUUUGAACUCAGCGACAGGCAAAAUACUGCUAACAAUUCUGCCAGCUCGCCACCUUUUUAAUAGUAUUAAUAAUAAUAGAAUGCCCUGAUACAAUACCAGAAAUUGGUUCUCAUGGUUUCUGAUUUUAACUGAUUGAAAGUGUUAUGUACAUAUUUUGUCUUAGUAUAAAAGAUGGGCUACAACCAGUGGUGGCUUGUAGAUAGAAUUAGUAGGGGAACUGCUUCAGAAAAUUUUUAGCCCUUGUUUUAAUAUUGAGCAAAAGGAAACAAACAUAUAAAAAGAAAAUUUAUACAUAAAUUUGAUUUGUUCGCAAUUUAGCCUCUGCUGGGUAGUGUGUUUAAUUUGUUCAUUGAACACCACUGCAAAUUCCCCUUUGUUUUUCAAAAAUCCCCUGAAGCUAGAAGCAGGACAAUAAUCUAAUUCUACACUUUAUCACAUUCAAGAAUAUAAAUAUGUUUUUAAGCACAACACACAUGGAGUCAAAAAGAAACACUACCUUUCACCGGAACACCAGGGUUGGCACUGUCGUUCAUGCAGUGCUCUCUCUCCCUAACGUGAAGCUUCCUAUCUUGGACAUGUGACCAUGCGCACAACAACCAAACACUGCGUCACUGGAACUGAAGCACACAGUUCUAUACAAGCAUUUUUGUAUUUCUUUCAUAAACUAGGGGAUUGCUACUGACAUUGAACUUAAGGAUUAUAUAAUGUACAAUUAUAAAGAAAGAAUUAAAGACAAAAGGACUCAUUAUAUUGAAUGUUAUCGAUAAUAUUAAGUGGAAAUAGGGGGUGCUGCAGUUUCACAGUGCCUAUACACGAGCCACCACUGGUUAUAACAAAUAUUCUACUCAUUAGCACAGAUUUCUUUGUCAGUUGUUUGACGUUAACCAGUUGAGCAUGUCCCUUAGUGGCUGACGAUAUAUGCAUCUCUGAUCACAAGCAGAAGUAGUUGGGGAGCAUCAUAGCCAAAUGUUGAGAGGAAUUCUUUGAGGUUUCAAUAAUUGACCCCUGGAAUCAGGGGUGUUUUGUUCAACCCUAACCCUUAAACAACCCUUAUUCAGACACCUUUCGAGUAGGAUGGGCUACUAGACUUGAAAAAAAUUCUAACUGGGCCUCACCUGCAAGGUCAUGCUGUUUAUCUUGAUAUGAGAUCACUAUGUUGUUCACAUAUGGUUAUGAUGUAUGUGCCUGGUGUACCCUUAAUAGACAGGUAGUCAUGAUAGGUGUAUUGAGCUUCAUAUAUUUGUAUCCCAGUGUCACUUUGAUGGCAUGCACUGCUCUCUCACUCAGUAAUAAUAAUAAUAAUAAUAAUCAUUGUCAUAAUAUGUUACAUAAGUUACAAGGCUAUGAAUUCAGGGGUUGGAAAGCAGUUGAUUAUAUCAAUCGCAGUACUUGACUAAUACUUAUCUUAUUGACCUCUGGAAGGAUAAAAGGCAAAUGUGACAUCUGUGGGAUUUGAACUCAGUAUAUAAAGAGCCAUAACAAAAUAUCACAAGGCAUUUUGUGCAAUGUUCUAGCAGUUGUGUCAGUCAUGCUUAUAUUUUCAGUUGGAGGAUGAGAAAGUGUCUGAGACUGCCAUUUGAAGCGGCAGCUGUUAAUAGAGCAAAGGUGCUGAGGUAACUUAACUCUCACCGACUCCCUUCGGCAGAAUAAAUGAAAAUAGGCACCGUGUGGAGGUACCUACUUUGGUUGUAAGAAAUAGGCACACUGUAUAUUUAAUGAGUACUUUCUUACCUUAACCUUUCAUGGUUCAGUGUAACAGCUGUAAGUAGGAACCAGAUGUAAUAAUAAUGGUUCAUUGCGUUUUGUAGUGCUGGAUUCAAGUCCUGUUUGUCAGCCUUUAAUCAUGAAUAUUGGAAUUACCAUUUCAGUGGAACCAUGUCCAUGGAGUCUACAUCAUCAUCAUCAUAAAUUUAACAUCCUCUUUUCAUUGGUCAGACAGUUCAUUACGGCAAAUUUUCUACAGUCAGGUACCCUUCCUGGAGAAGCCUGUUACUGUAUUUUUCAGUAUACAGGUUGAUGUAGUAUGUAGUGCAAACUUGUAGUAUAAUUAAUUAUUCAAGCAUUGUCGCUCUCUUUUGAAAUCUGGCUGCAUUUUACAUAGAAUUUUUGGUCCUUCAAAGUUGUAUUGGUGUAUAAAUUGACUUACCUUUUAUUUUGGCUGUGAAUUUUGGUCUGAAAAAUUCACCUUGCAUGCCAGAAAAUAUUGUAUCUUAAUUAAAGAACAAGCUCAUUGAACAAUGCCUCCACCACCACCAUCACAAAAACAAAAAAACAAAGGUGGGAUGGCCACAACUGGAAUGCGAUUUAAUCAGGGCUGACCUCUGAUUAAGCAAACAAACCCUACAAAUUUGUGACCUUGUAGCAGUCUAAAAAAUAUAUUCUCUUUCACUUCAGCUGUCUGUCUGUCUUUCUCUCUCUCUCUCAUCAAAUGGUGUAUAAUUUGUUGUGACUUAACAAAAGCCUUUCCCUCCCCACCGCUGUCACUUUAACCCACAACAUAUAAACCAGAGACAUCAGUGGUUGCCAUGGAAUGGAAGGGGAUUGGCAGGGGAGUGGGAAGGAGCUUGAUUCACUUUCCUUUUUGAAGACAUUUUUUUCCCCCUUUUUGUAUUACCACUUGAUGAUGACAAUGACGAUGAUGAUGAUGAUAAUAGUUGUCAUAUUAAUAGUGGUGGUGGUGGUAGUGGUAGAUGUUACUGUAAGAAGUAUUAGAAAAUGCAAUAAUGAAGGAAGAGAGAAAAUGUAAUAUGUAUGUCUGUGUACAUAUACACACAUAUAUAUAUAUAUAAUAUAAUAUAUAUGACUGGCUGCUUGUUAAAAUAACACUAGCCAACUGCAUAAAAUAAUAAUGAUGGUGAUAUAUUUUAUUUGCCACAGGGGCACCAAUAAAGGGAACAUAGUAAUAAUUUCUUUUAUUGGCCACAAGGAAUGAUGCAUGAAGGAACAUUACAAUGCUAGCGGGGGGGUGUUUUUUUACCAGAAUCAAUUAUGAAAAUAGAAAAAGCCAGCCAGAGAAAACUAGGGCUUCUGUGUGGCCAUAUGGUUUGUUAGAAAUUGCACUCUCAUUUCUCAGAAAAGAACACUUUGGAUAAUAUAGUUUUUGGUUCUCUUGCACAUUGGAAAAGACAGUGGGGUUGUGGCAGAAAUGCCUUUGAUCACAAGUUUAUUCAGUCAGGGUUAAACAACUGCAGAGAAAAAGAAUAAUUAGAAAGAAAGCCAUAGUGAAAAUAGCUUAAAAUCUAUUUUAUCAUUAAUAUUAAAUAAGAUGGCUAGCUGGGAGAGUCAUUAGCACUCUGGGCAAAAUACUUACCAGCAUUUUGUCAGUCUUGACAUUCUGAGUUCAAAUUCUGUCAUUGUCAGCUUUGCCUUUCAUUCUUUGAGCAUUGAUGAAAUGAGUACCAGUUGAGCCCCGUGGUCAAUGUAAUCAAUUUAACCCCUUCCCCAAAAUUGUUGGCUUUGUGUCAAAAUUUGAAACCAAUAUCGAGAUGGUGAGCUGGCAGAAUUCUUUGCACACUGGACAGAAUGCUCUGUGGCAUUUCUUCUGGUUUGGCAUUCUGAGUUCAAAUGCCUCUUUUAUUGACUUCACCGUUCACCUCUUUUUUGGGCGAGUGGUUGUUAGGAAUAAAGUACCAGUCAUAUAAUCAGCUUCUCCACUCUGCACCAAAUUCCAGCCCUUCUGCUUAUUAGUAGAAACAUGUAGUUGUAGUACCUAGGGGUGGUGGAUUGGCAGACCUGCUAAAGUGUCACAAAAAAAAUGCCUUGUGGUAUUUAUUCUGUCUCUUUGCAUUCUGAGGUCAACUUUGCCUCUCUUCCUUUCAGGGUCAAUAAAAUACCAUCCAAACAUUGAAGCUGAUGUAAUUGACAAGAACUCCCUCCCCUCAAAAAUAUUAAAGAAAUUUUUAAAUGCUGGCCUUGUGCCUAAAUUAGGAACAAUUUUUUUUAAUAUUAGCUUUUCCUUCUUAGAUUCAUUAUUCAAAAUAAUAAUUAGUUUUUAUUAUUAAUUUAUUUAUUUAUUCAGAAUUCUUUACUGGCUCAGUUUUACACUUUAAUGUUUCACAUAUUGACAGAGAGAGUGGGUGGUGGGUGGGGAGAGAGGGACUUAGAUUAAGAAAUUUCAUUCGAUUUAUCCAUUGUUUGUUUGUUUGUUUGUUAGCUGCCUUUUAUUUCUUUUCUUUCUUUCAUUCGUCUGUUCAUUCUUUCAUUCUUUUUCUCUCUCUCUCUCUCUCUCUCUCACAGUAAUUCUCUUGUCUUUGGUUUUUAUGUAUAUCCAAUCCAAUAUCGUCAGGUAUUGAUUUGUAUAUGCCUAAAAUCUGGGUCACUUACUGAAUAACUAUGAAAAUUUCUGUCCAUGAUCAAGGAGCAUUCCUUUUGCUAAGAAAUAGACAAAUGUACUCACUCAUUGUUGUAGUAGUAGUAGUAGUAGUAGUAGUUGUUGUUGUUAUAUUCUAUGCGCCCUCUCCGUCUCCCUUUCCUUCCCUGCCGCCCACACCCCUCUUGUUUUAUGCAUCUCUUGUAUUUUCCAUUGACAUAGUAGUUUUUCUUUUGUUUUCCUUUUGUGCUUUGUCACAUUUUAGAAUUGCAAUGCUUUUCAUUUCUGCAAUGUAUAAGUGAUAGUAUUAUCAAUGAUUUUAUAUACUUCCCUCCACACAAAUGUGUGUGUGUGUAUGUGUGUGUAUGUGUGCAUAAAUAAAUGAUAUAUUUAUGUUUGCAGUACAUACAUCAUUCAUGUGUAUGAUAUAUGUAUGUGCGUAUAUAUAUACAUAUAUACAUACAUAUAUAUAUAUAUAUAUAUAUAUAUAUAUAUAUGUCUGUAGGCACAGCUUAUAUCUGAUAGAUUCUAAGUAUCUAGUAUAUAUGUACUUAAAUAAAGUGUAGCAUCUAUAUGUUCAUCAUAAAGGCUUAUGCAUACACAAACACACACACACACACACACACACAAACACAAACACACAUGCAUUUUAUCAUUUUGAUAGUAAAGUUGUAGAAGCUACUGAUAAUAAAUAUACUGACAUUCUUUAUAUUACAAGACAGAAUCUAUAAAAUAUUUACUUUAUUUAUUUAUUUAUUUUUCACUAAUAUAUACCAUACUGGUCUUGGAGAUUUAUGUUGCAGCUUCGCCUGUUAUUCCUGUUUCUAUAUAUAAUAUACUGACAGGCCUAAACUUAAUGUUGGCAAUGCCAUGAGGUUAAAAAGUUUGCUUUCACAAGCGCAUAAUUCUAGGUUUUGAUCCCACCGAACAACAUCCUGGAUGUUUUCUGCCAUAUGUUUGAAUUAAUCCCGGGGUUUUGUUAGUGAAGUAGGUAGAUGGGGUUGUUCAGUGGGUUUGACCCCUCCCCUGCUCCCACUGCACAGCACCUUGAGAUGUCUUCUAGCAAAGUAUGUGAAACCAAAUUUAUGUAUUUCCACUUUGGUCCCACUGCGUGGCACUUUGGGCAAGUGUCCCAUUCCAGUUUUGCUCUCCCUGUAUAGCAUCCCGGGAAAGUUACUGAUUCCAGGUUCAGUCCCACUUCAUGGCAUCUUAAAGCAAGAGUGGAAUUGGGUAUAAACACAAAUUUCUUUUACCAUAACCCAAGACUUGUGAGGUGGAUCCAGACUUUAAUCUCAUAAAAUUUCUCAUACCAUAAUUUUGGCAUUUUAAGUGAAAUUGAGUUAACAGAUACUGUGGAAAACCUUGAGAUCAUUGGUUCUCAGCUGGGGUCUACAUGAUCCGUGAGGGUCCAUAUAAGAUUUUGUUGUUAAAAUUUAACUGCAGUGGUAAGUAACUUGCUCAUCAACCACAUGGUUUUGGGUUCAGUCCCACUUUUGGCACCUUGGGCAAGUGUCUUCUGCUAUAGCUUCAGGCUGACCAAAUUCUUGUGAGUGGAUUUGAUAGAUGGAAACUGAAAGAAGCCUAUUGUGUGUAUAUAUAUAUAUAUGUGUGUGUGUGUGUGUGUGUGUAUGUAUAUAUGUAUAUAUAUGUAUGUAUAUAUAUGCAUGUAUAUGUAUGUAUAUAUAUAUAUAUAUGUAUGUAUAUGUAUAUGUGUGUAUGUAUCAUCAUCAUCAUCAUCAUCGUUUAACGUCCGCUUUCCAUGCUAGCAUGGGUUGGACGGUUCAACUGGGGUCUGGCAAGCCCGAAGGCUGGACCAGGCCAGUCAGAUCUGGCAGUGUUUCUACAGCUGGAUGCCCUUCCUAACGCCAACAAUAUAUAUGUAUAUGCACACACAUGUAUGUUUGUGUCUGUGUUUAAGUCCCCAUAACUUAGCAAUUCGGCAGAAGCGACCAAUAGAAUAAGUUCUGGGGUCGAUUUGUUCGACUAAAGGUGGUGUUCCAGCAUGGCCACAGUCAAAUGACUGAAACAAGUAAAUGAGUAAAUUGGUUAUAUUUCUACAAUACAGGAAAUACUUGAGCAAUGUUUUUAAAUGCGACUCUUAAUAAUGUUCAAUUAUAAAGAUAUAGAAUUUUUUAAAAAUUGAAUGGCUACGAGGAUCCACCUGAGUCAGUAAAUGGUCGAGAGCCUUUUCUGCCAGUCAUGUCUCCAGCCAUGGAUUGUUUGUCGUACUUCUCUUCUUACCUAGUUGUAAAUCAUUUAAUAACAGACUAAAUGGAACAAGAGACACAUAGGAUGGAGAGUCAUUGAAGAGGUCACAGCAUGUGUGACAAAUGAUUUCUUAGACAAAGGAGAGUAAUCAUCAUCAUCAUUUAGCGUCCGCCUUCCAUGCUAGCAUGGGUUGGACGGUUCAACUGGGGUCUGUGAAGCUGGAAGGCUUCGUCAGGCCCAGUCAGAUCUGGCAGUGUUUCUACGGCUGGAUGCCCUUCCUAAUGCCAACCACUCCGUGAGUGUAGUGGGUGCUUUUUACGUGCCACCUGCACAGUAAUAUAAUAAUAAUAAUAAUAAUAAUAAUAAUAAUGGUUUCAAAUUUUGCCACAAAGGUAGCAAUUUUGGGGGAGGAGAUGAGUCGAUUAGCUGACCCCAGUGUUCAACUGGUACUUAUUUUAUCAACCCCAAAAGGAUGAAAGGUGAAGUCAAUCUCAGCAAAAUUUGAACUUAGAACGUAGAGAUGGUUGAAAUAAGGAAUAAUAAUAAUAAUAAUGAUAGAGCUAAAGUGAAGACCAGGUAUAUAGUGCAUGUGGUUAAAUGGCUAUAAUAUGACCAUCCCUAAAUAUACCAAUAAUUAUAAGCAAUUUUUUUUAAUGUAUUUUCUUUCCUUUUUAUCUUUCUAGUUACCUGAGAUGAUUUGUAAUUAUUAUAAAGCUGACAUAAGCUUCUGCUUUGGUUAUUACUGGUAAGUAGACCUUUCUUUGUCUCUUAUAGGUAAAAAAAAAAAAGAAAAUGGUGUUACCUAUGACCUCUCAGGUCAGUAAAGUCAAUCUGGGUUAUGUUCAGUUUAAACAUAUGCAGCUUGAACUUGUUUUGGCUGUUCAUGUCACAUUGGGGAUUGCAGUUCUGAUAUCAAAGAAUUUCUGUGAAGUACUAACUUUGUGUGUGUGUGUGCGUGCACGAACAUGUGUGCAUGUAUGUGGCACAAGAGAGGCAUGGGGUGAUGGAAAGAGUGGGAUUGGUGAGUGUGGUUUACUGCUGUUGUUUAUCAAACUUAUGAUGAAAAGCAUUCCAGCUGUGACCAUCCCAUCAUUUUAGCAUUUUACCAUUUUGGAUUACAUUACUUUAAUUGUCCUUGGUCCAGUGGUUAGGGUGUUACACUCACAAUCACAGGAUCGUAGUUUCGAUUCCCAGAUCAAUGGUGCAUUGUGUUCUUGAGCAAAACACUUCAUUUCAUUUUGCUUCAGUCAACUCAGUUGUAAAUAGGUCACCCUGUGACAAAUUGGUGUUCCCUUCAAAGGGAAUGUUGGUCUGUGUGGCUUAAUGGUCAGGGUAUUGGACUCAUAAUCGUAAGAUUGUGGUUUCAGUUCCUGGAUCGAGCGACAUGCUGUGUUCUUGAGCAAAACACUUCAUUUCACAUUGCUCCAAUUCCACUUCGCUGGCAAAAAUGAGUAAACCUGUGAGGGACUGGUGUCCCAUCCAGGUGGGGAAUUUACUUGCCACGAAACCAGGAAACUGCCCCAUAAAUGUCAGUAUGACUCGAGAAGGUGGCUUUACCGUUUUUUACUUUAAUGUUGGUCUGCUCACCUAGCCAGCGGGAUGGCAUCAUUCAAAAGCCAAAAGAACAUGAGCAAGCACAUUGUGACCAGUGAUGUAUAACAACAUCCAAUAGUCUGGUGAAUACAGUAAUAUUAUAUAUAAAGCAAAGGCGGCAAGCUGGCAGAAUCAUUAGCAUGCUGGACAAAAUGCUUAGUGGCAUUUCAUUUGUCUUAGUGUUUUGAGUUCAAAUCCUGCCAAUGUCAACUUUUGAGGUCAAUAAAACAAGUACCAAUUGUGUACUGAGGGGUCAGUGUAAUCAACUUGCCCCAACUUCUGAAAUUGCUGGCCUUGUGCCAAAAUUUGAAACCAAUAUUAUAAAGCAACUACUGUGUUGUAUUACCUUUUUCUUUUAUUUUGUGUCUGUACUACACGCUUGUGAGUGAGUGUAUAUAUGUAGCACUCCAUUGGUUACGACGACGAGGGUUCCAGUUGAUCUGAUCAAUGGAACAGCCUGCUCGUGAAAUUAACAUUCAAGUGGCUGAGCACUCGACAGACACAUGUACUCUUAGCAUAGUUCUCGGGGAGAUUCAGCGUAACACAGUGUGAUAAGGCUGGCCCUUUGAAAUACAGGAAGAAAGAGUGAGAGAAAGUUGUGGUGAAAGAGUACAACAGGGUUUUCCACCGAUCCCCUGCCGGAGUUUUGUGGAGCUUUGGGUGUUUUCACUCAAUAAACACUCACAACACUCGUCUGGGAAUCGAAACCACAAUCCCACGACCGUGAGUCUACUGCCCUAACCACUGGGCCAUUGCGCCUCCACAUCUAUAUCUGUAUACUGUUGGGGAACAUGGAUGAAGUAAUGUAAUUGUAUAGUUCUGUUCUCAUUCCUUUAUAUUCUGUUGCUCUUUGCUUGCUUACCUUUUUACAGAAGGUAUUUUUCAUUACAAUAUCAAUAUCACAUCAAUUUUUUUAUUCUGCCAUUGAGAGACAAUCAAAGAUGGUGGCAGUCACUAUGGAUUAUCUUUUAUUUUAAUCUUUUGUUUAUGUUUUUUUUUACUUGUCUCAUUCAUUGGGCUGCGACCAUGCUGGGGCACCAUCUUGAAGUGUUUAGUCAAGCAAAUCAACCUCCGUACUUAGUUUCUAAGUCUGGUACCCAUUCUGUUGGUCUCUUUUGCCAAACCAUUAAAUUACGGGGAUGUGAACAAUCCAACACCGGCUAUCAUGAAGGGGAGGUGUGGAGGACGGACACACACACACACGCAUACAUACAUACAUACGCAUUCACCCUCAAGGCAUUCGUCAGCUUGGGGCUAUAGUAGAAGACACUUGCUCAAGGUGUCACACAGUGGGACUGAACCUGAAACUAUGUAUUUGCAAAGCAAGUUCCUUAAUCACACACCCUAUGUUAUCAAAUGGGGCUUAUCAAAAUCAGCAGGUCUCAAAAUAUAACUCAGGAUAUUGUCAAAUUUUCUGCUUAAUGUUAUCAACUAUUGUUAUCUAAAAAGAUGCAUCUGAAAGCAAUCAACAAGCAGCUUUCAUUGUAAUUAAAAAAAUUAUUCUUUUUGUUUUUGUUCUUUUUUUUUUUGCUGUUAUUGAUCCUAUUACUAUACAUACUACAAAAGUAACCCUGUAAAAGCUCUCUGCCGCCACCACUACCACCACCUCGCUAUUCUUCCAAUCACAGUCUAGAAGUACCUACCCUGUCCACAUGUAAACAACACUGCUAAAAAUUUAUAUGUAUAAAUCUUUUGCCUGCUUCGAGGUCAUUAAUUUAGUUUAGACCCGUUUAAUGAAUAAAAGAAUUUAGUAGAGAAACAUUUGCACAAAAAUCUACUUGAAAUGACUCAGCAAAGUUAAUUUAAGGAAACUAAUCGCAACUGCAUGACUUAUUUUCAGUGUUUAUACAUUUUUAAAAUAAUAUGUAAUUUUUAAAUUACCUUAUGGCUGUAUUAAUAAGAAGCUAAAUUUCAAGAU
rnacentral:lncRNA from 1 species